rnacentral:misc_RNA from 1 species
UUAGCAUAUUCUGUUCAGAUUUUAUAAUGACUUUAUUUCUCAGCUUAGUCAAAGCAUAUAGGGCUCAUUACUCUAAAAACCCAAAACACACUACAAACUAUUACCCCUGAAGGCAUUAUAAAAUCUGAACAGAAUAUGCUAAAUCUCUCUCAUAGUAUCAGAUAGCACAUCCAAUUCAAGGCAGCUACAAUGUGAGACUCCCUUCUUAACACUUGACUUCUUUGAGCCCAUAUGCAAGGUACAGAAAGGUUGGAUCAGUAGCUCCUUCCUUGUAGUAUGCAAAUACAAGGCUGCCAUCAUCAUGCAUGCUCUCGCCCACAAAGAAUUGGAGGUCAAUGAGCUUUGAAAGCAGGAACUUGGUAGCUCCUUCAAUGUGCUUCUUGAACAACUCUUGCUUCUCUGGCUCCAAUUUGGGUGUCAGCAAUUUGAUGUACCUCUUCAUGAAGGUGACAAACUGCUUCUUGUCAAAAGCUGGUUGCUCCUGAAGCCUGAAUGUAUCAACAAUAUCAACAACCUUGACAGCUUGGUCAUCAACACCUUCAUCUUCUUCCCCACCUUCAGCAGAAGGGUUAGCACCAAUAUCUACAUCAAUUGCUCCCUGAACAACCCACUUUCCCUCAACUUCCCAUAUAACAUCCCAUUCUCGAUUUCCUUGUAUGGGAAUGAGUCGGAUAGAAGCUCAUCAUCUGUUAGAAGAUCCUGAUACACAAGCAUGAUUAGCUCUUUGUUUCUGGCUCUGUAAAAGAACUAUAUUGGCUAACUAGCAAAAGAAAAGGCAAUUAACCAAGAAAAAAGGAACAAAAUUCGAAAGAGC